CUCGCUGAGUUUAAGCAUAUCAAUAAGUGGAGGAAAAGAAACUUACAAGCAUUUCCCUAGUAACGGCGAGCAAACCGGGAACAACCCAACCUUACAAUCAAGCGGCUCCGUCGUCCGAAUUGUAGUUUGUAGAAGCGUCCUAAGCAGAGGACCGGGCCCAAGUCCCUGGAAGGGGGUGCUAGAGAGGGUGAGAUCCCUGUUGCACCAUGAGACAUUGUCUUCGAGUCGAGUUAUAUGGGAAUGCAGCCCAAAUCGGGCGAUGAAUUUCGUCCAAGGCUAAAUACGGGCGAGAGACCGAUAGCGAAUAAGUACCGCGAGGGAAAGAUGAAAAGGACUUUGGAAAGAGAGUCAAAGAGUGUUUGAAAUUGUCGAGAGGGGAGCGGAUGAGGGCCGACAAUGUGCCCCAGUCAGAUGUGGAACGGUAUUGAGUCGGUCCACCGAUCGACUUGGGUCGUGGACUAAUGUGGAUUGGGGAGGGGGCAGCCAAAGCUCAAGCUUUUGAUACGCUCAUGGAGUGUCGUUUCCUUGAUUGUGGUAGGUGGCGCGUGCCUCUAGAGUGCUUCAGCAUCUGUGCGCUCUGGACGCUGUCAUGUAGGCUCCCUAUUCGACUCAUCUUGAAACACGA
rnacentral:rRNA from 1 species